UGGGGAAUAUUGCACAAUGGGGGAAACCCUGAUGCAGCGACGCCGCGUGAGCGAAGAAGUACCUCGGUAUGUAAAGCUCUAUCAGCAGGGAAGAAAGUGACAGUACCUGACUAAGAAGCCCCGGCUAACUACGUGCCAGCAGCCGCGGUAAUACGUAGGGGGCAAGCGUUAUCCGGAUUCACUGGGCGUAAAGGGAGCGCAGGCGGCGCGGCAAGUCUGAUGUGAAAGCCCGGGGCUCAACCCCGGGUCUGCAUUGGAAACUGUCGAGCUAGAGUGUCGGAGGGGUAAGCGGAAUUCCUAGUG
rnacentral:rRNA from 1 species